UACGAAGGGUACAAGCGUUAAUCGGACUUACUGGGCGUAAAGCGCGCGUAGGUGGUUUGUUAAGUUGGAUGUGAAAUCCCCGGGCUCAACCUGGGGACUGCAUCCAAAACUGGCAAGCUAGAGCAUGGCAGAGGGUGGUGGAAUUUCCUGUGUAGCGGUGAAAUGCGUAGAUAUAGGAAGGAACACCAGUGGCGAAGGCGACCACCUGGGCUACUACUGACACUGAGGUGCGAAAGCGUGGGGAGCAAACAGG
rnacentral:misc_RNA from 1 species